rnacentral:lncRNA from 1 species
GAAAAAGAAGUUGAUUCAUGAAGCGAAAUUUUAUUAUUGGAAUGAUCCAAAUUUGUACAGAAGAGGGGCAGACCAGAUCAUUAGGAGAUGUGUGCCAGAGGAUGAGAUGAAACCUAUCCUUUCACGGGUUCAUGCAUCGGCUUAUGGAGGACACUUUGGCCCCACUAAAACAGCAGCAAAGGUGCUUCAAUGUGGUUUCUUUUGGCCUACAUUAUUCAAGGAUUGCCACAGUUUCUGCAGAUCAUGUGAUAAAUGUCAAAGAACAGGUAACAUAUCGGCGCGUCACGAGAUGCCACUUAACAACAUUUUGGAGGUGGAAAUGUUUGAUGUCUGGGGGAUUGAUUUUAUGGGUCCCUUUCCAUCAUCUUACAACAAUCGGUACAUCAUAGUGGCAGUGGAUUAUGUCUCUAAAUGGGUAGAAGCUAAAGCAUUGCCUACAAAUGACGCGAGAGUAGUGGUGGACUUCAUAAAGAAACACAUCUUUACCCGCUAUGGAUCACCUAGGGCCAUAAUAAGUGAUGGUGGAACUCAUUUUCGCAAUCGGUUAUUCCAGGCAGUGCUGCAUAAGUACGGGGUACAACAUCGAAUUGCCACUCCUUACCACCCUCAGACAAGUGGACAGGUAGAAACCUCGAACAGACAGUUGAAAAGAAUUCUGGAGCUCACUGUGAAUGCAUCUCGCAAAGAUUGGUCAAAGAAAUUAGACGAUGCUUUAUGGGCAUAUCGCACUGCGUACAAGACACCUAUUGGAAUGUCCCCAUAUCGACUAGUUUUUGGAAAAGCAUGUCACCUACCAGUGGAAUUUGAACAUAGAGCAUACUGGGCAUUGAAGCAGCUAAACAUGGACCUCGAAAAGGCAGGAGAAACAAGAAUACUGCAGCUGCAUGAAUUGGAAGAAUUCAGAAGAGAAGCAUAUGAGAAUGCAACCAUCUACAAGGAAAGGACGAAGCAGUGGCAUGACAAAAAUAUCAGGCAAAGAAUUUUUAGAGUGGGAGAUCAAGUGCUUUUAUACAAUUCCAGACUUAAACUGUUUCCAGGAAAGUUGAAAUCUAGAUGGUCCGGCCCUUUUACGGUCUCUCAAGUGUUUCCCUACGGCACAGUUGAAUUACAUCAUCCAACAAAAGGAAACUUCAAAGUAAAUGGCCAACGUAUCAAGCACUACGUGGACGAUUUUCCCACUGCUAAAGAGAGCCUUGACCUAGCUGUACCAGAAUAAGAGCGGCACAAAGUCAAGCUAAUGACUUAAAAGAAGCGCUUCUUGGGAGGCAACCCAAGCUUUCUUUCCUUUUUGUUUUUUUUUUAUUUUGUUUUUUUAGUUAUAAGAUAGUUUAGUUUAAUUUAUUAGUUUAUUCUGGAGUCAUCACCCAUAUCCCUUCUGCCUAUAGGCCCUUAACUUUAUUGUUGGUUGUUUGAUUGUUUGAACUAAGUAACACAUGUUCUAGAUUAUUUAAUUUUUAAUAUUUGAUUUACUGCUAUGUGUAGGGACAUGACGUCGUGGAACACUCAAACCAACAUAGAUCAAGGGAGAGCAUGAUGAAGAAGAUUAUCCAGCCGUCACACAUAGUGCCUCAUACAUUCAACAGAAAAAUUUGGGGAGUACCUUCUUCCUUUUCUUCCCUAUCCCCUUUAUGUGCUUAUUUAUGCUUUAUGACAUUGAGGACAAUGUCAGUUUUAAGUUUGGGGGUGAAAAUAAAAAAAAAAAAAACUUUUCGUUUUUAUUUUUCAUAUGUUUACAUGUGUUUGUGUGUUUGUUUUAAAAAAAAAAAAAAAAAAGGAAAAAGGGGAAAAAAAUGACAAAUAAUCGAAAAUUUUCAAAAUUAAAAAAAAAAAAAUUAUUUAGUUGUGUGCUUGUGUGGGUUAGAUAGUUUGGUUGACUAUGCUAAUUUAAUUGGAGAUUUGAUAUUGAUUUAUGAAUUGUGGAUGAGAUGUAUGCUAGAUUAAUUGAAGCUCAACCUUGCAAAAGUUGAUAUUACAAGCGCACUAGAAUUGAGUUUGACAUUGUGAUGAAAUAAGUUGUUUCAUGUUUGAUAGGUUGAUUUAGAUGGACUUAGAUGCUUUACCUAAACCAUAUUGAAUUAUUUAUCCUCAGACCAAAUUUAGUAUAGUUUGGGGGUAACUUUACAGUUGUAUGAAGAUGCUGAUGUGAAUAUGGAUUCCAUGUGUGAAAAUUUAUGUGUGGAUUGUCUUAGACUAACGGGAUAAAAUUGGGUGAAAGUUUUGAGUUGGAGGUCAGUUUUCUUGAAUAAGUGUAUGAUAAGGGACAUUGCACUAAUCAAGGUAUACAUUUAAAAAUGUUAAAACUUCUCUCUAAAGCCUUUAUGACUCGAGUAAUUAAGCCUGCAAGGGUAUCUUAAAACCUGGUGCCCUAAAGUCAUCUGACUUGGGAGUCAUCGGCCUAAAGCUUGCUAAAAGGGUCAUUUAGAAAGCAAUCAGAGAUGAAGUUACACUUAAAAAAAAAAAAAAAAUUGUUCUCUUCGAAGCCUUUUUGACUCGGGUCAGUAAGUCUGUAAGGGUGUUUAAAACCUGGUGCCCUAAAAUCAUCUGAUUUGGGAGUCAUCGGCCUAAAGCCUGCUACAUGGGUCAUCUAGAAAGCUUAAUGGAGAGAAAAUAAAAAAAUUAAUUAUGAAAAAGAAAAAAAGCAAGUGCAUGAAAAGAGCAAAAACACUAAAUACCUUGGUUAAGUCCCAACACCUAUUUGAGGGAAUUUGACUUUCGAUAAAAGAUAAUUAGCCUAAUUGAGUCUUGGAAGUCGAAGCAAUCAAAUAAUUGGAGAAUCCAUGUUCAUUGAAGUAUUGACUUGUAACUUGUAACGUCUACCCAAACUCGAGAGGGUGAGGAUAGUAAUGAAAUAUUCAACCUUAAGUUACACACCGGGAAAAGAGUGAAAAAAAAUAAUAAUAAUAAUAAUAAGUUUGGGGGCGUGUGAAUCAAACGAGAAAUGUAAGGAUAUAUUUGACCAUAGAGGGUUGGGAAUAGAAACAACUUGUGUAGUCAUGGUUGAUUACUUAAUUAUUCACACACACACGUCGAUUUUGCAUUGGAAGAGUGGAUAUUGAUUUAGUAUUGUGACUUUGAAGCGAUUUGUAAAUUUAAUUCGACAAUCUCAAAUCUUGUGAUAAAAUGCUAGACUGUCCAACCAAAUAUUUUUUGCAUGCUUGUGUGUUUGUUGUUAUUUAGGUUAUAGUUUUGUUUGAGGACAAACAAAUAUUUAAGUUUGGGGGUAUUUGAUAAGUGUAUUUUAUACACUUAUUCGGGUGCUUAAAAUGACAAUAUUUGGUGGUCCUUUUAACAAAUUAUAUCCUAUUUUUUUUAUUUUAUGCUUAAUAGAUAUAUUUCACGAUCAAAAAGGGAGUUGAAGAGAAGAAGCAAAAAUGGGCGAAAAGUGGCAAAAUUCAAGUACAAGGACUAAAUUGGCUAUUUGAUGCAAAGUUUGGAAAUCAAAAUUCAUUAUCUUGAAAAUUAAGGACUUGGAAGCAAACACUAUAAAUGGGCCUCAACUAGACUUCCACGUGGGCUGAAAUUGAAUGGCAAUUGAAAUAUAUAUCAUAUAUGGGACUUAAACAAUUCAAGUGGGCUGCCAGGUUUUAUUUUAUAGAUAUAUACACCAUUUACACGGAGGAGGGGGGAGCCGAACGAGGGAGCAGACCGAACUAGGGAGCAAAUUGGACUCCACUUUGGGGUCAAUUAUUGAGGCUCAAUAGCACAGAAAAUCGGGAGAGAUGCAUACGGAAAUCGAGAGGAGGAAUUGAAGCUGCCAGCAAUUGUUAUAUUUACAUACACAGAAAUAGACGGCAGCAGCUGGGAUUAAUACACAGAAAUUGAGCUGCUUUGGGGAGAAGACCAGAACAUUAAGGCUGAUUUGUUGCUGAAAUUGGAGAAAACACACACGGGGAAAUUGAGAAGCUUCGGAGGGAGAGAUACAAAAGAAUUGGCACCAGCUUGGGGACUAAAAAAAGGUCAGAAAUCAGUUGCUGGAAUUACAUUAUUAUAUACACCAAUUGACUGCAACUCGACGGAGAUAAAAGUGGACGGCUGGAACAUAUUCUGGAAGGGGACGGCUGAACAUAAAUUGGGAGAAAUUGGACUGCUUGUUGCUGAAAUCAAUACGCGCAGAAACUGAUACAAAAGAUGGCAGAUUCACGUUUCAAAAAUUUAAUCACAUUCCGUCUAUUAAACCGGGUGAUGUCUUCCAUGAAUUUAUCUUGUUUUUCCUCUAUAAACAUGAGUAGCUAAAUUUAAUUUAGGGCGAACAACGUAAUUUAUUUGGAACCCUUUAUUUCGUUGAUUUAAGAUCCUAGUGCUUUUAUAUCUUAUGCGUUGAUUUUAAUGUUGUGCUUAAUGCUUUUAAUUACUUGAUCACUAAUUAAAUGAUUUGUGAGCGAUGAUUGCGUAGAGAUGCGGAUUAUUU